CCUACGGGAGGCAGCAGUGGGGAAUAUUGGGCAAUGGAGGAAACUCUGACCCAGCGACGCCGCGUGCGGGAUGAAGGCCUUCGGGUUGUAAACCGCUUUCAGCAGGGAAGAAGCGAAAGUGACGGUACCUGCAGAAGAAGCACCGGCUAACUAUGUGCCAGCAGCCGCGGUAAUACAUAGGGUGCAAGCGUUGUCCGGAAUUAUUGGGCGUAAAGAGCUCGUAGGUGGUUCGUCACGUCGGAUGUGAAAAUCUGGGGCUUAACCCCAGACCUGCAUUCGAUACGGGCGAGCUUGAGUAUGGUAGGGGAGUCUGGAAUUCCUGGUGUAGCGGUGGAAUGCGCAGAUAUCAGGAGGAACACCAAUGGCGAAGGCAGGACUCUGGGCCAUUACUGACACUGAGGAGCGAAAGCGUGGGGAGCGAACAGGAUUAGAUACCCUGGUAGUCCACGCCGUAAACGGUGGGCACUAGUUGUGGGGACCUUCCACGGUCUCUGCGACGCNGCUACGACAUAGUGCCCGCCGUCGGGAGGUACGAGCGCGAGAAGUUAAACGUAACUUAAAGAGUAGUUAGUUACGNGNGAGNGNGACGACGACGACGACGAGGAGGAGG
rnacentral:rRNA from 1 species